rnacentral:rRNA from 1 species
AUUGAACGCUGGCGGCAGGCCUAACACAUGCAAGUCGAACGAGUGGCGGACGGGUGAGUAAUGUCUGGGAAACUGCCUGAUGGAGGGGGAUAACAACUGGAAACGGUAGCUAAUACCGCAUACAAUCGGAGAUGCCCAGAUGGGAUUAGCCAGAAGGUGGGGGAACGGCUCACCUAGGCGACGAUCCCUAGCUGGUCUGAGAGGAUGCCAAGCCACACUGGACCUGAGACACGGUCCAGACUCCUACGGGAGGCAGCAGUGGGGAAUAUUGCACAAUGGGCGCAAGCCUGAUGCAGCCAUGCCGCGUGUAUGAAGAAGGCCUUCGGGUUGUAAAGUACUUUCAGCGGGGAGGCGUUACCCGCAGAAGAAGCACCGGCUAACUCCGUGCCAGCCGCCGCGGUAAUUC